UACGUAGGGUGCGAGCGUUGUCCGGAAUUAUUGGGCGUAAAGAGCUCGUAGGCGGUUUGUUGCGUCGGCCGUGAAAACUCAGGGCUUAACUCUGAGCCUGCGGUCGAUACGGGCAGACUUGAGUUCGGUAGGGGAGACUGGAAUUCCUGGUGUAGCGGUGAAAUGCGCAGAUAUCAGGAGGAACACCGGUGGCGAAGGCGGGUCUCCGGGCCGAUACUGACGCUGAGGAGCGAAAGCGUGGGGAGCGAACAGG
rnacentral:rRNA from 1 species